AUGGUAUAAUAAAAUCGGAGGCCACGACUGUUUACUAAAAACACAAUUCAGAGCAAUUAUUAAGAUAAUAGUAUUCUGAAUGAAAUUUGCUCAAUGCCAUUAAUAUAAAAGAGGUAAUUUUAAAGUUACUAAUUGAAAGUCUGGUUAAUAGCGGUCUUAACUAUGAGGAUCCUAAGGUAGCAAAAUAAAUUGGCCAUUAAAUGUGGUCUAUUAUCAAUAAUGUAACGAUGGUCUCACUGUCUCUACAACUUGCUCAGUGAAAUUGAAUUGCGAGUGCAG
rnacentral:rRNA from 1 species